rnacentral:tRNA from 1 species
GGGGAUGUGGCUCAAGUGGUAGAGCACUCGCCUCGUAUGCGUGAGGCACUGGGUUCGAUCUUCAGUACCACA